AGAGUUUGAUCCUGGCUCAGGCUGUACGCUAGCGGCAGGCCUAAUACAUGCAAGCCGAACGGUAACUUUUGUAGCAAUACGAGAGCUAGAGUGGCGUAAGGGUGCGUAACACGUAUGCAAUCUGCCCGCAACAGGAGUAUAGCUCCCCGAAAGGGGAAUUAAUCCUCCAUAGUACCAUUGGGAGGCAUCUUUUGGUGGUUAAACCUUAAGGGGUUGCGGAUGAGCAUGCGCAUGAUUAGCUAGUUGGUAGGGUAACGGCCUACCAAGGCGAUGAUCAUUAGGGGAACUGAGAGGUUGAUCCCCCACACUGGCACUGAGAUACGGGCCAGACUCCUACGGGAGGCAGCAGUAGGGAAUAUUGGUCAAUGGGUGAGAGCCUGAACCAGCCAUGCCGCGUGCAGGAAGACGGCCUUCUGGGUUGUAAACUGCUUUUACGAUUCACUGGGAACACUGUGCGCAGUGGAUUGCAGGUACCAAGGGAAUAAGCCACGGCUAACUACGUGCCAGCAGCCGCGGUAAUACGUAGGUGGCGAGCGUUGUCCGGAUUUAUUGGGUUUAAAGGGUGCGUAGGCGGCUUAUUAAGUCAGUGGUGAAAGACGGCAGCUUAACUGUCGAGGUGCUGGAAUUACUGAUGAGCUAGAGUACUGAUGAGGUAGGCGGAAUGGACGGUGUAGCGGUGAAAUGCAUAGAUAUCGUCCAGAACACCGAUAGCGAAGGCAGCUUACU
rnacentral:rRNA from 1 species